rnacentral:misc_RNA from 1 species
ACGCACAUUGCGCCCCUUGGUAUUCCAUGGGGCAUGCCUGUUCGAGCGUCAUUUGUACCCUCAAGCUCUGCUUGGUGUUGGGUGUUUAUCUCGCCUCCGCGCGUAGACUCGCCUCAGAACAAUUGGCAGCCGGCGUAUUGAUUUCGGAGCGCAGUACAGCUCGCGCAUCGCACUCACAACGUCAGCGUCCAGAAGUGAAUUUUUUACACUCUUGAACUCGGAUCAGGUAGAGAUACCCGCUGAACUUA